GUUGGCGGCCCGCGGCUACAGUUUCCGCCGCGCCAUCUACGGGGAGGGGAAAGGGUCAAGAAACAUUCGUGCGUGCCGGCCAAUGAGAGCAAUGAAGCCGUUUCCAUGGUACCUGAGGGCACGCAAGGAGGGGGGAUGACCGAGAGAGAGGGUCACAAGAGGAGAAGGCCAAUGCCCCAGCGCAGGCAGCACAUCAACGACCAUUAAAAAGGAGAGAGGAGGCUGCGGAGUGAAGAGCAAGGAGCCCUCAGGUCCACGCACCGGGGGCAGGAAUCGGGGGGGCGCGGCGCUUUCCCAGGCAGAGUCAGCUUCCUUAUUUUAUUACCCGCAGCCACACGCGGGGUGGGGUGGGGCAAUAUGGGGGCUCCCAGCACCUCCCUGCCUCGCUCUCUCCCCUUCACCCCACAGGCUCCAUCCUGCAGCCAUGAUGCUAUUUCCUGCCCCCCCAGCUCCAUCCAGCCCCAGGGGGACGAGAAACACCAGCCAAGAGCUGCGCCUCGAGAGUGAGGGGCACCCGCAGAGAUGUGGGGGGAGGGGGGUUGUAGGCCAGGAGUGAGGGGCACCAGGUCAGCUUGCCACCCCCCUCCCCAUCCCAGGGCACACGCAUGCAGCCCAGUCCCAGUGCUCGCGGGAAGGCGUGUUCAUUGCAGCGCGAACCCCCCGGCCGAAGCAGAGCUAUCCCACCUCUGCCACCACCCUGCCCCCUCGCUCAGCCCCCAGGUCUGGGUCAGAAAAAGAGCGUGGCCCUGGCCCUGGCGGUGCCUGGCUGGACCCCCCCCUUUCCCCAGCCCUAACAAUUGCCAUAUUUACUCACAUAGAAGAUGAACCCGACCCUACCUUGACAACUACAAUAUUUACUCAAAUAUAAAAUGAGCCUAAAUGUAA